UGAACGCUGGCGGUAUGCCUAACACAUGCAAGUCGUACGAGAGUUUUUAACUCUAGUGGCGGACGGGUGAGUAACACGUGAGAAUUUGCCUUUAGGAGGGGGAUAACAAUUGGAAACGAAUGCUAAUACCCCAUAUGCUUUCGAGUGAAAUGGAUUUAUAUUUAUCCGCCUAGAGAGAAGCUCGCGGCUGAUUAGCUUGUUGGUAAGGUAAGAGCUUACCAAGGCGACGAUCAGUAUCUGGUUUGAGAGGACGAUCAGACACACUGGAACUGAGACACGGUCCAGACUCCUACGGGAGGCAGCAGUGGGGAAUUUUCCGCAAUGGGCGAAAGCCUGACGGAGCAAUACCGCGUGAGGGAAGACUGCCUAUGGGUUGUAAAGCUCUGUCGACAGGGAAGAAAUUGUAAUUAUCCAAUAGGUAGUUACAUUGACGGUACCU
rnacentral:rRNA from 1 species